rnacentral:rRNA from 1 species
GAUGAACGCUGGCGGCGUGCCUAAUACAUGCAAGUCGAGCGAACAGAUGAGGAGCUUGCUCCUCUGACGUUAGCGGCGGACGGGUGAGUAACACGUGGAUAACCUACCUAUAAGACUGGGAUAACUUCGGGAAACCGGAGCUAAUACCGGAUAAUAUAUUGAACCGCAUGGUUCAAUAGUGAAAGACGGUUUUGCUGUCACUUAUAGAUGGAUCCGCGCCGCAUUAGCUAGUUGGUAAGGUAACGGCUUACCAAGGCGACGAUGCGUAGCCGACCUGAGAGGGUGGUCGGCCACACUGGAACUGAGACACGGUCCAGACUCCUACGGGAGGCAGCAGUAGGGAAUCGUCCGCAAUGGGCGAAAGCCUGACGGAGCAACGCCGCGUGAGUGAUGAAGGUCUUCGGAUCGUAAAACUCUGUUAUUAGGGAAGAACAAAUGUGUAAGUAACUAUGCACGUCGUGACGGUACCUAAUCAGAAAGCCACGGCUAACUACGUG